rnacentral:rRNA from 1 species
UACGUAAGGUGCGAGCGUUGUCCGGAAUUAUUGGGCGUAAAGAGCUCGUAGGCGGUUUGUCGCGUCGGCCGUGAAAACUUGGGGCUUAACCCCAAGCUUGCGGUCGAUACGGGCAGACUUGAGUUCGGCAGGGGAGACUGGAAUUCCUGGUGUAGCGGUGGAAUGCGUAGAUAUCGGGAGGAACACCAGUGGCGAAGGCGAGUCUCUGGGCUGUAUCUGACGCUGAUGCGCGAAAGCUAGGGGAGCAAACGGG